UACGAAGGGGGCUAGCGUUGUUCGGAAUUACUGGGCGUAAAGCGCACGUAGGCGGAUAUCUAAGUCAGGGGUGAAAUCCCGGGGCUCAACCCCGGAACUGCCUUUGAUACUGGGUAUCUCGAGUCCGAGAGAGGUGAGUGGAAUUCCGAGUGUAGAGGUGAAAUUCGUAGAUAUUCGGAGGAACACCAGUGGCGAAGGCGGCUCACUGGCUCGGUACUGACGCUGAGGUGCGAAAGCGUGGGGAGCAAACAGG
rnacentral:rRNA from 1 species